CUUUGGGAGUCAAGAAUGGGAAAACCAUAGUAAAAUUUAAGUAAUAGAAAAUAGAAGCAAGACAUCAAUAAAAUUUUUUAAUGAAUCCCUCUAUCUCUACUUAAUUUAUCUCCUUUUCUUUUCUCAUCAUAGAAGUCUUCUGAUUAUAGGGAAGGAAGGAACCUUACAGAUGAUACAACAAUAAGAAGAACCAUACCUGGCGUGAAAGCACCGACUUUGGAGCUGGAGGAUUUUCUCCUUUGGGACUUUGUCUUCAGUCUGAAUCUUCAGUGUGAAGAACCUAGGGCUGAAAACUUAAACUGCUUCUGGUAAGACUGCUCUUAGAUCUUCUCCCUUUGAACUUUGGAUUAGGUAAGUGAAAAAAAAAAGUGACCUUUCUUUCCUGGCUUUUGGAGAGUUUAAGCACCAGAGAGGCCUCCCUCUAAGGGAGGUCAUGUGGGUGAAACCCUUGCUUAAUUCAUCAUCAAAU
rnacentral:lncRNA from 1 species